GAAGAAGGAGGGUUUAGCUAUUGUUGUGAGCAGACACCACUGUCAGCAGCUGUGGAGAAACUUCUAUGGCACGCCAUGAGAACCUAACAAGGGCCUGCCGCCAGCCACCAAGUCCUGUUCCUAAACCACCCAUGGGAGGCUGAAUUAGCUGUUGAGGUUUGCAAGCGGGUUCGUGCUAUGCUACUAGCCACCAGCCACGAGACCAUAACAAUUAAGGGCCUACUGCCAGCCACCAUGGUGCAUAUGUGCAGAUCUCUCGGCUCACAUUUGAAGGUCGCCUACCCGCUAGCAUGACAGAAGGCACCUCUGUCCAUGACUUCUGGGUGGACUUGGCUUCAUGUCUGCUUCACAAGUGUCACCCGGCCACCACCGACAAAUCCACCUGCCAAGAGUGUGUGACACAAGCAG
rnacentral:lncRNA from 1 species